AGCUCCGAUAGCGUAUAUUAAAGUUGUUGCGGUUAAAAAGCUCAUAGUUGGAUUUCUGUCGAGAACGGCCGGUCCGCACUAUGUGCGUGUAUCUGGUUCGGUCUUGGCAUCCUCUUGGAGAACGUAACUGCGCUUGAUUGCGUGGUGCGGUAUUCAAGACUUUUACUUUGAGGAAAUUAGAGUGUUCACGGCAGGCAAGCGCCUUGAAUAUAUUAGCAUGGAAUAAUAAUAUAGGAUCUCGGUUCUAUUUUGUUGGUUUCUAGAAUCAGUAUAAUGAUUAAUAGGGACAGUCGGGGGCAUUUGUAUUCAAACGACAGAGGUGAAAUUCUUGGACCGUUUGAAGACAAACUACUGCGAAAGCAUUUGCCAAGAAUGUUU
rnacentral:rRNA from 1 species